GACGUAGGGCGCGAGCGUUGUCCGGAUUUAUUGGGCGUAAAGAGCUCGUAGGCGGUUUGUCGCGUCUGCCGUGAAAGUCCGGGGCUCAACUCCGGAUCUGCGGUGGGUACGGGCAGACUAGAGUGAUGUAGGGGAGACUGGAAUCCCUGGUGUAGCGGUGAAAUGCGCAGAUAUCAGGAGGAACACCGGUGGCGAAGGCGGUUCUCUGGGCAUGUUCUGACGCUGAGGAGCGAAAGUGUGGGGAGCGAACAGG
rnacentral:rRNA from 1 species